rnacentral:rRNA from 1 species
UACGUAGGGGCCCAGCGUUGUCCGGAUUCAUUGGGCGUAAAGCGCGCGCAGGCGGCCCGGUGUGCCGCCCGUGAAAUCCCCCGGCUCAACCGGGGGGGGUCGGGCGGGACUGCCGGGCUGGAGGCGGGUAGGGGAGAGCGGAAUUCCCGGUGUAGUGGUGGAAUGCGUAGAGAUCCGGAGGAACACCAGCGGCGAAGGCGGCAUCCUGGACUGGUCCUGACACUCAGGAGCGAAAGCGUGGGGAGCGAGUCCGG